GACGAACGCUGGCGGCGUGCUUAACACAUGCAAGUCGAACGGAAAGGCCCUGCUUUUGUGGGGUGCUCGAGUGGCGAACGGGUGAGUAACACGUGAGUAACCUGCCCUUGACUUUGGGAUAACUUCAGGAAACUGGGGCUAAUACCGGAUAGGAGCUCCUGCUGCAUGGUGGGGGUUGGAAAGUUUCGGCGGUUGGGGAUGGACUCGCGGCUUAUCAGCUUGUUGGUGGGGUAGUGGCUUACCAAGGCUUUGACGGGUAGCCGGCCUGAGAGGGUGACCGGACACAUUGGGACUGAGAUACGGCCCAGACUCCUACGGGAGGCAGCAGUGGGGAAUAUUGCACAAUGGGCGGAAGCCUGAUGCAGCAACGCAGCGUGCGGGAUGACGGCCUUCGGGUUGUAAACCGCUUUCGCCUGUGACGAAGCGUGAGUGACGGUAAUGGGUAAAGAAGCACCGGCUAACUACGUG
rnacentral:rRNA from 1 species